UUGCACAGGUCCUUGGCUACUUCACUGUCAAUCAAAUACUGAAUAAAAGAGAUAGCCCUCUCCUGGGGGGCCGUGGCCCUCUUGGAUAGCAGCCUCCAGGAAAUAUCAGCCAAAUGAAGGAAGGAGGGAAUGCACCACAAGACCAGACAAUUGUGCCCAUUCGUUGCAAAUGAAGAGCGAUGUGAGCAGGGAAGGCAGCCGCUCAUUCGGGAAAGGCUUUGCCUUCGAUGAUGAUGUGGUGAAGGAGGGAGUGUGAUAAGGGACCAGCCUGCGGGGGGCUGAUCCUAGAAGUGGACCCCGGGUAUCCUGAUGGCAGAGACUAUAGAGCUUUGGUCUCCACACCGUCUGAAGGCCUUUGUUCCAAGUCGCGUCUAGUGCUCUGCGACUCUAACGUCUUUCUUCUUCACUGAUGUGUAGUUAGUUUCCUGCUAACCUGAAUAAAAGGUGACCCCUUUCUUUCUGGCCGUUGUAUCUCUCAGCUCUGUUCGCUCCACCGUGGUAGAGAGAAGCUCUCAGUAGACCCACUAAGCGCUUCAUGCAUACUCUUGAGGCAUUUAUUUUCCAUGAAUUGUAAAGUGCCUGGUGCAGAGUAAAUGCUACAUAGUUGUUUGCUACGGUUCUUAUUAAGUAAUAAAAGGGGAAGGGAGGCAUGGAUUUUUCAACCUUCCGUAAUGGGGCAGACACUCAGCUUGGUGAUUCAUUAUUUUUUUUAUUAAAAAAAAUUUUUAAAUGUCUAUUUAUUUUUGAUAGAGAGGGAGAGAGACAGAACAUGAGCGGGGGAGGGUCAGAGAGAGGGGGAGACACAGAAUCUGAAGCAGGCUCCAGGCUCCAAGCUGUCAUCCCAGAGCCCGAUGCGGGGCUCGAACCCACAGACCGUGAGAUCAUGAGCUGAGCCGAAGUCGGACGCUCAACCGACUGAGCCACCCGGGCGCCCCUCAGCCUGGUGAUUUAAAUGCAUUUUAUUUUAUGAUCCUCAAAAUAACACCACAUGGUUGGUAUUUUAAAUCUCACUUUAGGCCUAGGGAAACUGAGGCUCUGAUAGGCUAAGUGAAUUGUCUUAUGCCACAUGGGUUGGUCUGUGAUCUGGGCGCUAUCAUGCUUCAAAGCCUGGGCUCAGUCAAUUAGUACCAGUUGGUACCCACUGAGUGAGAUCCUCCCCGCUCUGCUUUUGGCUCCGUCACUCAUGGACCAUAUCUGGUCGGUUUCUCCUACAUUGGAUACUUGCUCAGGCCACCGAAGCUUUGCCUGUGCUGUUCUCUAGGCCUGGAAAGCCCUCUGUUCACUUCUUUAGCUACUUAGCCUCCACGUGGCUUCUGGUUUUAGCUCAAGCAUCAUCUCCUCUGGGAAUCCUUCCAAGACCAUCUCCCUGCCCCUUUUUCAAUCUGAGGGAGGUUUUCCUCCACGGUGCUGUUUGAGGCUCCUCUCCUCCACCCUCUGUAAACACUCUGAGCCCCUCUAUGUAAUUACUAAUGGUCUCUUUUACUAGGCUGUAAGCUCUUUUUGUCUAUUUCCCCAUCGUAAGUAUGGUCCUGGGGCAUAGCAGUACUUAAUACAUACAUGCCGGUUAGAUGGGAUUGGCGUGGCUGUGGAGAUAUGUCUGGAAAGAGAUACCUGUUGGAAAGGGGUAGGGUCUGGAGAUGCUGAAUGUACUGAGGACUCACACUUCAGGUAGUUGCAACAGGAACACACGGGAGAGCUUGGAAUGGGAGGUGACGAGAGGAACGUGGGGAUUUCAGUCCAGCCGCGUAGAUUGGAAGGAGGGGAGAGGAGGCACCAGGACAGUAAGGAGAUUUCUCAAAUAAGAAUAGACUUCAGGUGAUGAGGUUGGCCAUAGGAAGGGACAAGAAGAUUCGAGACGGGGACGGGAUAAGGAGAAAAUCGAUAAGGGUCGAGAGAAGACUCAAACUGUUCCUUGCUUUUGAUCAAGCUGGAUGUUAGAAUGCACAAGUCAAGGCAAGACGGGAAAUAAAAGUUGAAGACCAGGCCCAGGGCCACUGGGUUCUCCAGGUUCUCCUCCUUCUAUGAGGCAGGCAGGAGCCAGAACCAGGCCAGCUGCUAGAGGUCUGAGGCUUUGGGCAAACCCACCUUUUAUGUUCAGGUCUGAGCCUUAGAAACGUGACCCAGACACCAGCCUCAGAAAGACCUUUAAAAUAAAGGGCUUUGGGGUGUGGCACCUGGGUGGCUCAGUCCCUUGAGCGUCUGACUUUUGAUAUUGGCUCAGGUCAUGAUUCCAGGGUUGCGGGAUUGAGCCCCGCCUUGGGCUCUGCACUGUGGAACCUGCUUGAUAUUCUCUCUCCCUCUCCCUCUGCUUCUCUCUCUCUCUCUCUCUCACUUGUGUGUGUGCUCUCUUUCUAAAAAUAAAUGAAUAAAUAAAUAAAUAAAGGGAUAUUUUUUUUUCCUUUAGGUAAGAAGCCUUUACCUUUUUCCUUCUAGGAUAUGAACUAGUCACAGGGUUUCAGGGGGCUUAUCCAGCCACCGGGGAGAAAUGUUUGGGCCACAUGGGUUACAGCUAAAUAGACAGUGGUGGUAGCUGAGGGCUUGGAUUCUGCCUGCUGAAAGAAACAACAUGUAGUUGCUAAUUGAUAUGUGGUAACUUUUAAAAAGAAUUCGCAUGGCGCCCCAGGGUGGCUCAGUCGCGUCAGUAGCUGACUCUUCAUUUUGGCUCAUGUCACGAUCUCGCGGUUCAUGACAAGCACUGCAUCAGGCUCUGCAGUGACACUGUGGAACCUGCUUGGGGUUCUGUCUCUCAGUCUCUCUCUCCCUCUGCCCCUUUUGUGCUUGUGUGAGCACACGUGCUCUCUCUCCCUCACUUUCUUUCAAAAUAAAUCAAUCAAUCAUGAAAGAGAAUUAGCAUUAAUAUUUUUUUGCUGUCCAAAUUAAUAUGCAUUCGUUGCAGAAAAUUUGAAAAUGGGAUCCACCAGGAAGAAGAUGAAAUCACCAGUAAUCCAAAGGCCCAGCGAUGAUCGUAACCAAUGUUGAUGGGUUGGGGUGCAAACUUCACCCACUUGGGGGCUAUUCUCAUAGGCAGUCAUUGUGCAACCUUCAAACUGUUGAUGUGAUUCAGGGAGAAGUUCUGGGAAGGAUGCAUUAUGAAGGCAAAAGGAAAGUUCUACUAUGGGUGGAAUGGAAUAACAUUUGUUGACAAGAUGGAUGCUGGGUUUUUGGUGAUUGCUAUCACGCGACAAAGGUUUGCUUCUCCCGGCCAGCUGGUUAGCUGCAUGGUCCCGAGACCACCAGGAGACAUGCAGAGAUGGCAGAUGCCAUGUUUCAUGGGAAGAGAAGAUGGACUGUGGUGACAGACCAUAUAGCUGUCCCCUCUUCUCGUGCCAUCCUUCCCUGUGUCCCUGCCUUUGUGUAAUCCCGCCCCCCUCUGCAUAACUAAUAAAAU